CAAAGUGCGAAGCAAAGGCGAGCAGAGGUAGAGCAUGCACUGCAGGGACUCCAUCCACAUCAUCUGCCCUGGUGGAGACAAGCCAUGGGCAACUGGAUGAACAGCUUGAAAACUAAGAGGAUUGAAACAUCAGAGAUACCAUGUGAAUUAAUCCCCUACAGCAUAAGAGAAAGAAUACCAGAUUUGACACUUAUUAUGUAAAGUUUGGAAAACAAAUUGACUGUUGAUGAAUUUCUGAAUGCUGGAGAUGGUGAAGGGCACUUCCGGGUGAACGAUCCUGAAGUACUGAUCCAAGGAGAUGCCCAUGGUCUGAACGCCAGCAAAUAUUCUCUCCACAGAGUUGGGAGCAAGAGGAACUGUAGCUUGGUGGGAACCUGAGCUAAUUGGAAACCUGCCACAGGAAGCCCUGCCAAGGGGUGGCACAGUAUGUGUGCCCAGGAGAGGAGACUCAAUCUUCCCUCAGCAGGGGGUCCAUGGUGGAAUUUCACUGUAUCAGAAAUCACUUUUCGAAAGGACUAUGGAAGAAGAAAGCAAUGUAUGUCGUUCUUACUAUCGCCACCAUGAUGAGGAUACGCACACAGGAGGCUUUGUCGACAAGCUGCAUUGUGAUCUCAUCUUUGUAAACCUCAAAAGUCAAGAAAGAAUCCUGGACUCCAGCCUGCAGUCUACAACAGAGAAGACAAUAGUCCUGCCUCAGCAGUGCUGUAAAUACAACAUGCUUGGGUGACCCAACUGGCAUUUGUUAAGCACUGUUUACUGUGAACACUCCUUAAUCUCCUUCAAGUGUUAUAGUGGAACACACUACUGCCCAUAAUGAUGUAAGAUUAAAUUGCUUUAAAUUAAUUAAAUUGCUUUAAAAUGGCUGAAUGGUGGUGUUCACCCCUCCAUUUCUGCUAUUUUAUGUUAUGGUGUAGCAGUAAACUCUUUCAAGGAUUCAGGAAUCGUACUGUGGGGUACUUGAGCAACCAGAGUCUUAGUUUGUCUUCUGUUCAGCUCCACAAAGUGUCUGGUGUAUUUUUUUUUUAAUAUUAGCUUCAAAGAUUAAUAUAUGUAUGUAUUUAAGUAUCAUUUAUAUGUCUUUAUAUAUUGGAAAAUACCAUAUAGUUCAUAAAGUAAAGGCAAAAGCAGAAGUGGACAGGUUGGAUGGGCUUUGAGCAACCUGGUCUAGUGGA